rnacentral:snRNA from 1 species
AUUGCAUCUUGGCAUUUUCGUGGUUACGAUCGUGUCUGUGGUUAUUAUUCCUGUCAGUUUAAUAUCUGAUAAGCUUCCCCAUCUGGGGUUGUCUGCAGUAUAUUGAAUAGAUUUUUGGGAACAGUGGCCAAGACUGGUGAGAUUCUCUCCAUUGGGCCAAGGUAUGAUCCUGGUAUUGCAGAGCUUCUGGGAAUAGUUCUAAACAA